rnacentral:rRNA from 1 species
UACGGGGGGGGCAAGCGUUAUCCGGAAUUAUUGGGCGUAAAGAGCUCGUAGGCGGUUUGUCGCGUCUGCCGUGAAAGUCCGGGGCUCAACUCCGGAUCUGCGGUGGGUACGGGCAGACUAGAGUGAUGUAGGGGAGACUGGAAUUCUCGGUGUAGCAGUGAAAUGCGUAGAUAUCGAGAGGAACACCAGUGGCGAAGGCGAGUCUCUGGAACGCAACUGACGCUGAGACGCGAAAGCGUGGGGAGCAAACAGG